rnacentral:tRNA from 1 species
GCCUGGCUGGCUCAGUCAGUAGAACAUGUGACUCUUGAUCUCAGGGUCAUGUGUUCAAGCCCCAAGCUGGGCA